rnacentral:lncRNA from 1 species
AGCCAUUAUACACAGUACUGCAAUGAACAUGGGAGUGUAAACAUCUCUUUGACACACUGAUUUCAAAUCUUUCAGGGAAUCAUAGCCACUAGGUCCUAUUUGAUGAUGGAAGAUGAGAGGAGUGUGAGGAUUGAAAAGCUACCUUUCAGUCCAUUGUUGAUGAAAAUAUAAUCGGCUUUUGGUCUGAGAUGUACGCAAAGCAGAAUUAUAAGAAAAAUUAAAGAAAAUUAACUCACCCUCCAAAUAUUGCCACUGGCCAAGAAAUAAAGAUUUUAAAAUCACUUUCUGGAACUCUUGAGGACACCAUUAACCCAAAAUCAGCACUACAUUCCCUGCCUCUGGCUUUUAUCUUCAGCUGCCUUAUUUUCUUUCAAAAUAUUUACAAAAGUGAUGAUGAUAUCUGAAGUAAGAAGAGUCUUUACAGAUGCCAUUAAGAAUCUAGUUUGUUCCCAAGUUACCAUAUCUCAGAGGCAUAUAAUGCUGUCCAAUUCUCUUGAAAACAAAAAUAUUCAAGCUCCAAUAAUAAAGAUUUUUCUGCUUUGUUCUUCUGUGUCCCUUGUGCUGAGAAAACUCAUCUAGCAUAUGGCUUUGACUCUUGGGUUUGAAAAAGGCACCGAUCCCUGCUAAAUUCUGAACACUGACAGUCAUCAGCCUUGGGAGAAGCAAUAAUCACAACGAUCUGCUUUUUAAUGAGGCAAAGGACCAGAAAUUAAGACUAUUAAAGUCCCCUAGGCCCAGGAACUAUCGCAGAAGAUAUGGGAACAUGAGAUUGUGAGGGCUGAUUUUGAGGGUUGAUUAGUUUAGAGUUUUCUAUAAAUUAAACAUUAAAAUCAAAAGCACACC